AUUGAACGCUGGCGGAAGGCCUAACACAUGCAAGUCGAACGAGGGGCGGACGGGUGAGGAAUGGCUGGGAAACUGCCCGAGGGAGGGGGAUAACUACUGGAAACGGUAGCUAAUCCCGCAUACAAUCGGAUGAGCCAAGAUGGGAUUAGCUAGUAGGUGGGGUAAAGGCUCACCUAGGCGACGAUCCCUAGCUGGUCUGAGAGGAUGACCAGCCACACUGGAACUGAGACACGGUCCAGACUCCUACGGGAGGCAGCAGUGGUGAAUAUUGCACAAUGGGCGCAAGCCUGAUGCAGCCAUGCCGCGUGUAUGAAGAAGGCCUUCGGGUUGUAAAGUACUUUCAGCGAGGAGGCGUUACUCGCAGAAGAAGCACCGGCUAACUCCGUGCCAGCAGCCGCGGUAAUAC
rnacentral:rRNA from 1 species